UAGAGGUUAAGUGCUUGUCUAAGAUCAU
rnacentral:piRNA from 1 species